rnacentral:rRNA from 1 species
UUGAACGCUGGCGGCAUGCCUUACACAUGCAAGUCGAACGGUAGAGGGGCAACCCUUGAGAGUGGCGAACGGGUGAGUAAUAUAUCGGAACGUGCCCAGUCGUGGGGGAUAACGCAGCGAAAGCUGCGCUAAUACCGCAUACGAUCUAUGGAUGAAAGCGGGGGAUCGCAAGGCCUCGCGCGAUUGGAGCGGCCGAUAUCAGAUUAGGUAGUUGGUGGGGUAAAAGCCCCACC